UACGGAGGGUGCAAGCGUUGUCCGGAUUUAUUGGGUUUAAAGGGUGCGUAGGUGGCCUGAUAAGUCAGCUUUGAAAGUGGCUUGCUUAACAAGACAGGGUGGGUUGAUACUGUCAGGCUUGGAUCAGGUGGCGGUUUCUGGAAUGGGUCGUGUAGCGGUGAAAUGCAUAGAUAUGACCCAGAACUCCGAUUGCGAAGGCAGGAGGCUACGCCUGUAUUGACACUGAGGCACGAGAGCAUGGGGAGCAAACAGG
rnacentral:rRNA from 1 species